CGGGCUGUAGCGCAGCUUGGUUAGCGCGCCAGACUGGGGGUCUGGAGGUCCGGGGUUCAAAUCCCCGCAGCCCGACCA
rnacentral:tRNA from 1 species